rnacentral:rRNA from 1 species
GAGUAUGUGAGGAACGCCCGAUGGAGGGGGAUAACUACUGGAAACGGUAGCUAAUACCGCAUAACGUCGCAAGACCAAAGAGGGGGACCUUCGGGCCUCUUGCCAUCGGAUGUGCCCAGAUGGGAUUAGCUAGUAGGUGGGGUAACGGCUCACCUAGGCGACGAUCCCUAGCUGGUCUGAGAGGAUGACCAGCCACACUGGAACUGAGACACGGUCCAG